rnacentral:lncRNA from 1 species
GUAUCGGCAGGCACAGCUCCCAUCAGGAGCUCUGCUUUUACGUGGUUUCCCCUGUUGGAGACCGGAGCUCUGAGGAAGGACGUGUCACCAACACACAAGUUGUGCUGCAGAGAGACCGUGGGACUUCUGGCACUGCAUGAAGAAGGCCAAAGCCGCCCUGCGCUGGUGGGUCUAUAAGCUGCUGAUGAAGACGGCACUGAUGAUGCCAAAGAACCUUCUGUGGCAGGGAUUUGAGUCCAAAUCCUGGGUACGCCAGGUGAGCGCAGAACAGACUAAAUUCCUGGACGUAAAACUUCAGGCAAGGAUGAGUGGCGUUGCUCCUGAAUAA